rnacentral:rRNA from 1 species
AGUGAACGCUGGCGGUAGGCCUAACACAUGCAAGUCGAACGGCAGCACAGUAAGAGCUUGCUCUUACGGGUGGCGAGUGGCGGACGGGUGAGGAAUACAUCGGAAUCUACUUUUUCGUGGGGGAUAACGUAGGGAAACUUACGCUAAUACCGCAUACGACCUACGGUUGAAAGCAGGGGAUCUUCGGACCUUGCGCGAUUGAAUGAGCCGAUGUCGGAUUAGCUAGUUGGCGGGGUAAAGGCCCACCAAGGCGACGAUCCGUAGCUGGUCUGAGAGGAUGAUCAGCCACACUGGAACUGAGACACGGUCAAGACUCCUAAGGGAGGCAGCAGUGGGGAAUAUUGGACAAUGGGCGCAAGCAUGAUCCAGCCAGACCGCGUGGGUGAAGAAGGCCUUCGGGUUGUAAAGCCCUUUUGUGGGGAAAGAAAAGCAGCAGGUUAAUACCCAGCUGUUCUGACGGUACCCAAAGAAGAAGCACCGGCUAACUUCGUG